AGUGAACGCUGGCGGUAGGCCUAACACAUGCAAGUCGAACGGCAGCACAGUAAGAGCUUGCUCUUACGGGUGGCGAGUGGCGGACGGGUGAGGAAUACAUCGGAAUCUACUUUUUCGUGGGGGAUAACGUAGGGAAACUUACGCUAAUACCGCAUACGACCUACGGGUGAAAGCAGGGGAUCUUCGGACCUUGCGCGAUUGAAUGAGCCGAUGUCGGAUUAGCUAGUUGGCGGGGUAAAGGCCCACCAAGGCGACGAUCCGUAGCUGGUCUGAGAGGAUGAUAGGCCACACUGGAACUGAGACACGGUCAAGACUCCUACGGGAGGCAGCAGUGGGGAAUAUUGGACAAAGGGCGCAAGCCUGAUCCAGCCAUACCGCGUGGGUGAAGAAGGCCUUCGGGUUGUAAAGCCCUUUUGUUGGGAAAGAAAAGCAGCAGGUUAAUACCCCGCUGUUCUGACGGUACCCAAAGAAUAAGCACCGGCUAACUUCGUG
rnacentral:rRNA from 1 species